rnacentral:lncRNA from 1 species
CUUGCAGCAUCCUGUGAAAUGCAGCGAGUAACUCCAGCUCACCCAAGGAAUCAUCUUUCUGACUCUUCUUCGCCAGAAGCUAUAAAUCCAUUAGGUGCGUUUUCGACUUUUCAGGUCUCCACGGCAGCAGGUUUACCACCACAUAACCCAGUGCUCUUUCUCUAGCCCGGUUUAGGUUUCCUUACCACCUGCUGCCCAGUCCCAAAGCUACUGCCACAUAUUUUAGGUUGUGGCAGCAGCCCAGUUCAAGGUACCAACUUCCAUAUUUGUUCUAGCAGCAGUAAUACUUCUGAAUAACUCCAGGACUUAAAGCAAAAAAUACAUUGUACUUAGGGAUCUGCCCGCUUCUCUUCUGCUCCAGGCUGUGGGUCAGGUUCAAGUCUACUCCACUCUUCGGAUAUUCUGGGCUCCAGGCUGAAGGGCCAACUGCUCUAUCAGCCGUGCUCUUCUCGUAGCAUAUCACAGAGUGUGAGCACUAGCCUAUUUUUAGUAAAUGUUUCUUCUAUCCCACCCCCCUACCCCAUCCUUUCUUUGUGCCAGUUCCCAGGUUGUUUUGUUAGGUCCUUUUCAGUUAAUUAAUUGUCGCAUCAGCUGUAGUUAACUGUUCAUUGGGCUUCUCAUUUCAUCUUUCAUUUCUGAAAGUUCUAGUGGCUUCAUUUUCAGGUAUGCCUGGUCAGUUUUGAACCGUUCUGUUUCCAUUAUAUGUAAGCUUACAUGUCUUCAUUUGUAUUUCAUAUUUGCAAAGUUAACAUCUGGUCCUUGGGGAGUUCCUGUCAUGGCGCGGCAGAAACAAACCCGACUAGGAACCAUGAGGUUGAGGGUUCGCUCCCUGGCCUCCCUCAGUGGGUUAAGGAUCCGGCGUUGCCCUGAGCUGUGGUGUAGGUCACAGUUGUGGCUCAGAUCUGGCAUUGCAGUGGCUGUGGUGUAGGCCGGCAGCUGUAGCUCUGAUUAGACCCCUAGCCUGGGAACCUCCAUAUGCUGCUGAGGCAGCCCUAAAAAGGACAAAAAGACAAAACAAAAAAAUCUGGUCGUUGGGGCCUAAUUUUGCUGCCAUUGUUCCUGCUGACUCUCAUUCCUGGUGGCUUCUUUCCUCGGGUAUUUGGUAAUUUUUCAUGAUGAGUUUCACUAACAGAUUAUAACCUGUAAGAUUCCUGUGAGGGGCAGGGGGGCAGGAGUGAGCAUGCAUCCUUCCAGAGAGAUUUUAUGGAUGCUUCUUCUGGUGCCCAAGGAUGACACCUCUCUGAAGUCACUUUAAAUUAAUCUGUCUUGCUGGCAUUUCCCAGACCGAGAAGGUAUUAAAAAUUCAUACCCAAACCCGAGUGAAGCAGCCUUGGACUGGGAUCUCCUGUGGGAUGCUUCUGGGGUAUUUCUCAUUCAGAGCCAAAGCAGGAGAUGGCCAAUUUCCCAGUGGUCCCCUUUUCUAGUGACUAGACUGCAGGAUGAGUUCCAGAUCCAGGCAGAGGUCUCCGUUCAGGCUCCCCCUUUUGUGGGCCAAAUGCUUUAUCUGUUUCUGGGAUGGGCAGGUGCCUCUGGCGUAGCCCACGUCUUCAGCAUCCCCAUGGCUUUGGGCUCCUUUUAACACAGCUGAUUUCUUCCAUCUGUUGCCUCCAUCUCUUCCUUCCUGCUCUGCUCCCUUUGCUUAACCUUCACAUUUAAGUGCAUGUGUAUUGCAUCUUACCCAGCCUUUCUGGGUGUUUGUGGUGGGAGGGUAGCCUGGGGAACAGGAGGUCUGCCCUCCGUCGGACACUUACUCUUCCCCAGGCUCACAGCCGUGUUUCUCAAGAGACUUCAGGGGGCACAGCCCCAGACUCAGCCGAGGGACCAUCUAGAGGAAGCAAAAGACCUGAUUUCCCUUUAUGAAGUUCUUGUCAGGGAACAAUAUGAACAGACACAAGGAGGUAGAAGAGGUAUAAUGACCAUGCAUUUAUUGAGCACCUACUGUCUGCAAGAUUCCAUGUGGGUGCCUCGCCCAUUUUCGGGUGUCAUUUUACUUAAUCCUUACAAGAACCCUUGGAAAGGCUCAGAAAUGGCUAGUGAUGUACCCAGGGUCCCACAGGCAGUAAGUGGCCAGGCUGAGAAGCCAGGUCCACCCCCUUUUCACAGUCCUGUGCUUCUUUAAAAAAUGAGCACAGGAAUUCUUGCUGUGGCUCAGUGGGUUAUGAACCUGACUAGCAUCCAUGAGGAUGUGGGUCCGAUCCCUGGCCUCGCUAGUGGGUUAGGAUCUGGUAUUGCUCUGAGCUGAGAUGUAGGUUGAAGACAGAGCUCGGAUCGGGCAUGGCUGUGGCUGUGGCGUAAGCCCGGGGACCUCCAUAUGCCUCUAGUGCAGUCCUAAAAAAGCAAAAAAAGCAAACAAAGAAAAUGAGCACAGGCGGGGCUGGCCAUCUGGGAUGGGCUGCGGGGGAAGCAGCAUGACCGCGUUCCCAUUCACUCUGUGCGGUCAGGUCUGAGUGCGCAUGUGCAAGCUGCUGGUGGGCACCGGCAAUGCGGCUUCGAGGGCAUGUCCCCCUCUUCCCUUUUCAUGACUGUUGUAGAAAUCCAAAAGGAACCAACAAGUAAGCCUUUCAAACGGGGCGCGGGGGUGCUGUGCUGUCUGUGAGGGCGGAGGGCUGCCCCAGCGCUGUUUUCUUCAAAGUUGGCAUCUGGAGCUGCUGGUGACAGGCGUGGAUGCUUCAGACUGAGAGACAGGUGUGCCUGUGGACAGGGCUUGCCCUCCCUGCGGCUCCACCGCAGAAGUCCCAGUUGCCCUGUUGUUGCCUCGCCGCCAAGAUGCUCACCAGCCAGGCCUCAUCAGAACUAAGCUCUUUAGGUAUUUUAAUAUUUUUUCAAUCAGGACUCAUCCCCAAGGAUCACAGCAGAUUUAACUCACAAGUCUGGACUCAGGUCUCCCCUCUCAUCCCAGCAGUGUCUGCUCACACCUUCGCCACUGAGAAAGUCCCAUUUCGUCUCUUCUCCCUGGCACGGCCCCCAGCCCCCAUGUAGCCUGUUCUGCAUCAGGAGGUCUCCAUCCCUGAGACGUAAGGUGCCAGCAGAUAUUAGUGGCAGAGCAGAAGGCAGCUGGCCCUCAGGGAGCGCAAGGCCCUGUGCCACGUUUACCACGGCUUUCCCAGGCCGGCAGGGCCAGGGGGCACUGCGAGGGCAAAGGGAUGGCUUGGGGCAUUCCACUGUUGCACCCAGGGCCCUGAGCUGCCUUUAGUUUCCCAGAGGCUUCCUGGGCAGGGCAGCCUGGAAGCGGGGUGCCCAUUUCUGCUUGCUGCUGGAGGGCCCUCUGCACAGUGCCCGACACCUGCUAAGCGGUCUCUAAGUGCUACCUGCUGUCGGGGUCAUGGCUGUUGAUCUGGAGGGACCCUGAAGUCCAUGGUGCUGGCUUUUGCUGGCUCUCGUCUGAGUGAUAAGAGGAAAGCCUGGACCACUGUGUAAUUCAGGGUGUUGCCCUAGAACCUGGGUUGCCAGUAGUAUUGAGGUGACGGCCCCCAGCUCUGGGGGGAGGGUGCCCGAAAGGCUGAGUCAGGUGAGCAGGUGGAUAAAGGGGGAGGACCCCUCCCCAUAGCUUUCUCAAGGAGCCUGGCAAGUGGGGUCCCUGCUCUCCACUCAGAUGGGGCUGGUCCACCCCCCACCUCCCUGAGCCCUCCCAGGAGGCCGGGAGACCCUGGCCUCUCGUAGGUGAGGGCCACUGAGGAGCCUGGGUGGCUGGAGAUGGGAACCUGGGGAGGAAGCAGGCCCUCUCAGACCCCAGGGAGAAGCAGGAGGAAGCCACAGAGCCCGAUGUUUAGAAAAGGGGCGCUACUUAUCCCCAGGGCUGCACCGCGCCUGUGACCGUGAUCAUGUCAGGGCCUGCGGGCUCAGCCAGCUGCAAAAGUCAGCAUUGCAGCUGCAUUCAUGGGCGGUGGAGCCCUGUUCUCCAACUUUCUGCGGUGUGUGCCCCAUGCGAGCUGCUGCAUACGGCUGAUACGGGCCCUGCUCAGAGCCUGCUUCCCCAGGCUUCCUGUGGCUCUGCCUCCCCCGCUUUUUACCCCCAGCCGGGAGUUGGCAGGAUCAAGAACUGAUGACAAACCAAGGCGCUGGAGCCCACCUUUGGAGCUUUAUCAGGUGGUGCUGGGAAAGAUCUGAAUGGGGCAUGGCAGCCUGGUCGGGGAGGGUUCGGGCUCAGUUGUGGAGGGUCUGGAUCCUCAUCCCCAAAGGGGAUAAGGGCAUGCCUGCCUGACCCUGGAGCCAGCCCAGCACAGGAGAGGGGCCUUGUGCUCCCUGGGCCAGCAGAUGCCCUCAAAGUCACAUUCACUGGUGACAUUAGAAAAAAGAGCGCUUUGUAGGGAAGGCUGUGUGUCACUCCCAGACUUCCCUCCCUCGGUGACACAUGGAAUCUGCUCACCCUUUCCCGAUGGCGUGUCCAUCGUUCCCUGUUCCUGGAGGUGUGAAGGCCACUUUUGCCCCAAGAGUCUACAAGGACACUGCUGUAGACAGAAUAACGCAACCCCCACCCCCCACCAAGAUGUCCAAUCCUGAUCCCCUUUACAAAGCACGAGAAGCUAUGCAGGUAUGAUUCAUUGUGAUGGAGUUCCCAUCGUGGCUCAGUGGAAAUGAAUCUGACUAGCAUCCAUGAGGAUGCAGGUUCGAUCCCUGGCCUCACUCCGUGGGUUAAGGAUCUGGUGUUGCCCUGAGCUGUGGUGUAGGUCGCAGACAUGGUUGCUGUGGCUCUGGCAUAGGCCAGCGGCUACAUCUCUGAUUCCACCUCUAGCCUGGGACCCUCCAUGUGCCGAGGGUGUGGGCCUAAAAAAAAAAAAAA